rnacentral:rRNA from 1 species
GUUUCUAUCUAUGAAGUGCUUUCCUCCAGUACGAAAGGACCGAGGAAAAGAGGUCCAUGCUUAAAGUAAACCUUCCCCCCACCCAAUGAAGACAACUCAAUCGGACAAAAGGCACCUUCCCCACCACCGUAGAUAACCGCU